rnacentral:tRNA from 5 species
GGGCAAUUAGCUCAGUUGGUUAGAGCGCUUCUCUGAUAAGGAAGAGGUCGGAAGUUCGAAUCUUCCAUUGCCCACAA